rnacentral:rRNA from 1 species
AUUGAACGCUAGCGGGAUGCUUUACACAUGCAAGUCGAAAGAGUGGCGGACGGGUGAGUAAUAUAUCGGAACGUGCCCAGUAGCGGGGGAUACCUACUCGAAAGAGUGGCUACUACCGCAUACUAUUGGAGCGGCCGAUAUCGGAUUAGCUAGUUGGUGGGGUAACGGCUUACCAAGGCAACGAUCAGUAGCUGGUUUGAGAGGACGACCGGCCACACUGGAACUGAGACACGGCCCAGACUCCGACGGGAGGCAGCAGUGGGGAAUUGUGGACAAUGGGGGAAACCCUGAUCCCGCCAUGCCGCGGGUAUGAGCAGCGCUUCGGAUUGUAAAGUACUUUUGUCAGGGAAGCGGUAUCUGCAGAAUAAGCACCGGCUAACUACGUUCAAGCAGCCGCGGUAAUAC